rnacentral:lncRNA from 1 species
GUGCAGUGGCGCUGGAUCUUGCCUCACUGCAACCUCUGCCUCCCGGGUUCAAGCAAUUCUCCUGCCUCAGCCUCCCGAGUAGCUGAGACUACAGGCAUGCACCACCAUGCCCAGCUAAUUUUUGUAUUUACUUUAGUAGAGACGGGGUUUCACCAUGUUGACCAGGCUGGUCUCGAACUCCUGGCCUCAGGUGAUCUGCCCGCCUCGUCCUCCCAAAGUGCUGGGAUUACAGGCGUGAGCCACCGUGCCUGGCCCUUGUAGGUGCUCUAAGAUGAAGAAUUCCAAACUGCUAACCGUCAGCACACGUCGUUCAUAAGAAAGCACAGCAGAGGAUGCCAUCCAGAGUCCAGGAUGAAGCCAAGAGGGAGCCUCUGGAGCCGGGACAACAGAAAAUUUAUAUAAACUGCAACCUCAAUACUUUGAAGACAGUAGCACGAGGAAUGAAUUAGUGCUGAAGACAGCAUCGAAUAGCAUAAGGGGCACAGCAGAAAUUCAAGUCCAGGUGUCUAAUCCAAAAUCUUUCCUCUGGAGACUCCCUGUUUUUCAUGAAGCCCAGAAUCCUGUCUUGCACAUCACUUUCUCC